rnacentral:piRNA from 1 species
CUCAAGGUUGAUGUCUAAAAGA